rnacentral:rRNA from 1 species
UACAGAGGUCUCGAGCGUUGUUCGGAUUCAUUGGGCGUAAAGGGCGCGUAGGCGGCGGGGUAAGUCGGGUGUGAAAUCUCAGAGCUCAACUCUGAAACUGCACUCGAUACUGCUCUGCUUGAGGACUGGAGAGGAGACUGGAAUUCACGGUGUAGCAGUGAAACGCGUAGAUAUCGUGAGGAAGACCAGUGGCGAAGGCGGGUCUCUGGACAGUUCCUGACGCUGAGGCGCGAAGGCCAGGGGAGCAAACGGG